UGGGAGAAGUCGCGAUCUCCUGUAGCUAUAGCUUAUAGGUCCAUAAGGGUGUGGGAUAGUGAGGAUUCUGGAAAGAGGGUAGAUGCUGCCAUGUUGAGGGACUGCCCACCUCAGAUCGGAGAGUCAACAUCGAUAGCCAUCAGCAAUGAGGGUGUCGAGGUUGUUAGAGAAAGGGGGAACGCCCGAGGCCGGAGACGGAGCAGGGAAAACCAACUUCGCCUUCGAUUAGUUGAGGGGAACACGGUUCUGAGUGGAGCCUAUCAGGUCGCCAGAUCUA
rnacentral:SRP_RNA from 1 species